AAUAUUGGACAAUGGGGGCAACCCUGUUCCAGCCAUGCCGCGUGUGUGAAGAAGGUCUUCGUAUUGUAAAGCACUUUAUGUUGGGAGGAAGGGCCGUAAGUUAAUACCUUGCUGUUUUGACGUUACCUACAGAAUAAGCACCGGCUAACUUCGUUCCAGCAGCCGCGGUAAUACGAAGGGUGCAAGCGUUAAUCGGAAUUACUGGGCGUAAAGCGCGCGUAGGCGGUUUGUCAAGUUGGAAGUGAAAGCCCCGGGCUCAACCUGGGAACUGCUUUCAAAACUGGCAAGCUAGAGUAUGGCAGAGGGUGGUGGAAUUUCCUGUGUAGCGGUGAAAUGCGUAGAUAUAGGAAGGAACACCAGUGGCGAAGGCGACUACCUGGACUGAUACUGACACUGAGGUGCGAAAGCGUGGGGAGCAAAC
rnacentral:rRNA from 1 species